CUACGUAGGGGGCGAGCGUUGUCCGGAAUGAUUGGGCGUAAAGGGCGCGUAGGCGGCCCGGUAAGUCUGGAGUGAAAGUCCUGUUUUUAAGGUGGGAAUUGCUUUGGAUACUGCCGCGCUUGAGUGCAGGAGAGGUUAUCGGAAUUCCCGGUGUAGCGGUGAAAUGCGUAGAUAUGCCACAGAACGCCGAUAGCGGAGGCAGCUCGCCAGGCCUGCAUUGACGCUCGGGCACGAAAGCGUGGGGAUCGAACAGGAUUAGAUACCCUGGUAGUCCACGCCGUAAACGAUGGGCGCUCGUCGUCGGCGGCAGACAGUCGGCGGCCAAGCGAAAGCGAUAAGCGCCCCACCUGGGGAGUACGGUCGCAAGGCUGAAACUCAAAUGAAUUGACGGGG
rnacentral:rRNA from 1 species